rnacentral:rRNA from 1 species
UACGAAGGGGGCUAGCGUUGCUCGGAAUUACUGGGCGUAAAGGGCGCGUAGGCGGAUAUCUAAGUUGGGGGUGAAAGCUCGGGGCUCAACCCCGAGUCGGCCGUGCGAACUGAGUCGCUUGAGCACUGUAGAGGCAGGCGGAAUUCCGGGUGUAGCGGUGGAAUGCGUAGAGAUCCGGAAGAACACCGGUGGCGAAGGCGGCCUGCUGGGCAGUAGCUGACACUGAGGCGCGACAGCGUGGGGAGCAAACAGG